GAUGAACGCUGGCGGCGUGCUUAACACAUGCAAGUCGAACGGUAAGGGCGGGGCUUUCUCUGCUGGAUCAGUGGCGAACGGGUGAGUAACACGUGAGCAAUCUGCCCCUGACUCUGGGAUAAGCUCUGGAAACGGCGUCUAAUACUGGAUACGAGCUGCUACUGCAUCUUCAGCAGCUGGAAAGAACUUCGGUCAGGGAUGGGCUCGCGGCCUAUCAGCUUGUUGGUGAGGUAACGGCUCACCAAGGCGUCGACGGGUAGCCGGCCUGAGAGGGUGACCGGCCACACUGGGACUGAGAUACGGCCCAGACUCCUACGGGAGGCAGCAGUGGGGAAUAUUGCACAAUGGGCGAAAGCCUGAUGCAGCAACGCCGCGUGAGGGACGACGGCCUUCGGGUUGUAAACCUCUUUUAGCAGGGAAGAAGCGAAAGUGACGGUACCUGCAGAAAAAGCGCCGGCUAACUACGUG
rnacentral:rRNA from 1 species